AAACAUAGAAAACUAAAAUUAAUAAAAUUAGCCUAAGUCCCUCUGCAUCAAGCUCUAGUAAGUGCUGUGAGACAAAAAAAUGGCAGCUGACACUCACUAAUGUCCCCAUUCUGUGUUCCUGGAGCCCAGGGAAGGCACCUUGGUUGGUAUCCAAACGCUUAGUCACAAAGGGAUGUGGUAGUGAGGAACACUGAUGUCUAUGGUUAUGAUCUGUUGUUUUCAAGCUUAGAUA
rnacentral:snoRNA from 1 species